GAUGAACGCUGGCGGCGUGCCUAAUACAUGCAAGUCGAGCGAACAGAUGAGGAGCUUGCUCCUCUGACGUUAGCGGCGGACGGGUGAGUAACACGUGGAUAACCUACCUAUAAGACUGGGAUAACUUCGGGAAACCGGAGCUAAUACCGGAUAAUAUAUUGAACCGCAUGGUUCAAUAGUGAAAGACGGUUUUGCUGUCACUUAUAGAUGGAUCCGCGCCGCAUUAGCUAGUUGGUAAGGUAACGGCUUACCAAGGCAACGAUGCGUAGCCGACCUGAGAGGGUGAUCGGCCACACUGGAACUGAGACACGGUCCAGACUCCUACGGGAGGCACCAGUAGGGAAUCUUCCGCAAAGGGGGAAAGCCUGACGGAGCAACGCCGCGUGAGUGAUGAAGGUCUUCGGAUCGUAAAAACCUGUUAUUAGGGAAGAAAAAAUGUGUAAGUAAAUAUGCACGUCUUGACGGUACCUAAUCAGAAAGCCACGGCUAACUACGUG
rnacentral:rRNA from 1 species